rnacentral:ncRNA from 1 species
CCGAGUCCCGACGCACUCCCCCCGGCGCCGGGACUCUCCCCGAGCCGGGCUUCGGCGCCUCCCCCCGAGCGCUGAAGCCCGGCUCCGCC